rnacentral:misc_RNA from 1 species
UGGCACUACAAUAAAAGAGGGGAGACACCCUCACCAACCAUUGUUUUAAGGACACGGCGAUCAUUGCGUGCUGUGCAUUUUCAUCCACAUGCAGCCCAAUUCCUUUUAACUGCUGAGGUCAAUGAUCUCGAUACAUCAGAAUCUGCCAUAACAUUAGCAACAUCUCCAGGAUAUGUGCAAUAUCCACCUCCUACUGUAUAUUUUGCCGAUGCACAUUCUUCUGAUCGUUCUAGUUUGAUGGAUGGCCUACCUUUAAUGUCCUUUCCUCUGUUGAUAUGGCCUUCAUUUACUAAAGAAAAUAGGAGAAUGUCCAUGCACCGAACAGAAGGAGAUCAUGG